GUUUCCCUUAAAGAGGAAACCCAGUUCCACCAGGAGCUCCCUACCCGCUUAUCUGUUUUUUAUUUUAUAUUUUUUAUUUUUUUGAGACGGAGUCUAGCUCUGUCGCCCAGGCUGGAGUGCAGUGGCACGAUCUCGGCUCACUGUAACCUCCGCCUCCCGGGUUCCAGCGAUUCUCUUGCCUCAGCCUCCUGAGUAGCUGGGAUUACAGGUGCACGCCAUCACGCCCGGCUAAUUUUUGUAUUUUUAGUAGAGACGGGGUUUCACCGUGUUGGCCAGGCUGGUUUCGAUGUCCUAAUCUCAGGUGAUCCGCCCGCCUCGGACUCCCAAAGUACUGGAAUUACAGGCGUGAACCACCGCGCCCAGCCUUACCUGUUUUUUUUUUUUUUUUUUUUUUUUUUUUUUUUUUUUUAAAGUUUGAACGUUACAGAUUUAGAAGUUUAGCUUUCCUGCGCUGUACAGAAACGAUGACCUCACUGCACCUGUGAAGAAAGAGCUGCCCCAGAAAAGGCAGUCUUAGGGUUGGGGAGUUGGCCUAGGAUUGGAAUUUGAUUUGAGAUUUUAGGCCUGAGAGGCUACGAUGGAGGACGGGUGUUUCUGAUAGAAGAUUUCUGGGAUCGAGCACUUGCAGUCCAACGAAACAAUCAUCUGGUCUGCUGGAGUCAAGCAGCAGGUGCAGCUGGCAAUCUGACCUGCUGCUAGGUUUGCCAUCACUGUCCUUGGGUGACAAAAACAGAAAAAAGCAUGUGAGCACGGCUGCUCCUGAAUUACUCUGCUGUGCCUGAUGCCAUCAACAGCAGCUCCUGAAGACAGGCUUCCCUCAUACCUGUAGACAUACAUGGACCAGCACAACCUUGUUUAGAUCUGGCUGAUCCAAAUUCAUCUGCUUCUCCUGGCACUCGAGUGGUCUUGGAUUAUGCCAUGUUUAGCAAUUGAGCUACAAGUACUAAGAUGCUACUUGCUAUAGGUGGAAUGUUUAUGUUACCUCAAAAUUCAUAUGUUGGAAUCCUAAGCCCCAAGGUAUUAGAAGGUAGGGCCUUUGGGAGGUGAUUAGGUCUUGAGGGCAGAGCCCUCAUGAGAGGAAUUAGUGCCCUUAUAAAUGGGACCCCAGAGUGCUUGCUCCCUUGUCAUUUUCUCCAUGUCAGGACACAGUGAGAGGAUGGCCAUCUGUGAACCAGGAAGUGGACCCUCACCAGAUGCAGAAAUCUGCUGGCAACUUGAUCUUGGACUUCCAGCCUCCAGACCUGUGAGAAAUAAACUUGUUGGUUAUAUG
rnacentral:lncRNA from 1 species